rnacentral:rRNA from 1 species
GGGGGCCCGCAAGCGGUGGAGCAUGUGGUUCAAUUCGACGCAACGCGAAGAACCUUACCUGGGCUCGAAAUGCAGGAGACCGGGGUAGAAAUAUCCCUUCCUCGCAAGAGGCUGCUGUAUAGGUGCUGCAUGGCUGUCGUCAGCUCGUGUCGUGAGAUGUUGGGUUAAGUCCCGCAACGAGCGCAACCCUCAUCCCUAGUUGCCACCGGGUAAUGCCGAGCACUCUAGUGAAACCGCCCCGGAUAACGGGGAGGAAGGUGGGGAUGACGUCAAGUCCUCAUGGCCUUUAUGUCCAGGGCUACACACGUGCUACAAUGGUCGGUACAAACCGUCGCAAAGCUGCAAAGUGGAGCUAAUCGGAAAAAGCCGGCCUCAGUUCGGAUUGGAGUCUGCAACUCGACUCCAUGAAGCUGGAAUCGCUAGUAAUCGCAGAUCAGAACGCUGCGGUGAAUACGUUCCCGGGCCUUGUACACACC